rnacentral:misc_RNA from 1 species
ACUGCAAAUGGGAUCUAUGAAACUGCUUGGUCUGAAGGGGGACUUGGUUAUUCUUUCCAAACUCCUGAAUGUUGGAACACUGAUGGCCAGUAUAGAUCUCUAUGUUACAUGCGCCCUUUGGCCAUUUGGGCAAUGCAGUGGGCUCUGUGUAGGCCAAAACUUGAUAAGGAGGAAAUGAACUUAGAAGUGAAGGAAGAUUAUCAGCUUCCACACCAUGCUGGAUUUACUAAAGUUGCUCGUCACCUAA